GAGCCGUAGCGAAAGCGAGUUUUAACUGAGCGUUCAGUUACUUGACGUAGACCCGAAACCGGGCGACCUACCCAUGAGCAGGAUGAAGCGAAAGUAAAAUUUCGUGGAGGUCCGAACCCACGAGCGUUGAAAAGCUCGGGGAUGACUUGUGGGUAGCGGGGAAAUUCCAAUCGAGCCCGGAGAUAGCUGGUUCUCCCCGAAAUAGCUUUAGGGCUAGCCUCAAGGUGAGAGAU
rnacentral:rRNA from 1 species